AGCUUAAACUCUGAAACUCGUCAUCUCUGUCCCAUUUCGGGGUAUUUUCUGGUCUGCAGAGCGUGCCUGUCCCUUAUAGAGUCACAAAGAGUCCCAGUGAUGUGGAGAAGUGGCAGUCUUCCUCUGGCUUUGAAGUUGGUGAUAAAUGUUUAAUAUGCGGCAGAACAGAGUGAAUUGUGGGAAUAUUCCCUGAGGAGUCUUCACAAAGCGGUGUCAUUUUUCUUGAUGACAAGCACGACAGCGCCAUUUGCUUAUCUCCAGCCGAGGAGCUCCUCCUGACGAACCAGCUCCACUACGAGAGGAGAGGAGAUGAGAGGAGAGAGGAGAGCCUUCAAGAGAUUCCUCCUGUCCUCCUUCCUCCUCUCCUCCCUCCUCUUCUCCUGUACUGCCUCUUUCCUCCAUCUCUUUCCCCUCUGCCUGUUUCCUCCUUUCCUCCAUCUCUUUCCCCUUUGCCUCUUUCUUUUCCUCCACCUCUUUCCCCUCUGCCUGCUUCCUCCUCCUCUCCUCCACCUCUUUCCUCUCCUCCUCUCCUCCAUCUCAAUCCCCUCUGCCUGCUUCCUCCUCCUCUGCCGUCUCUGUCUGUGAAUCUCCUACAUGUCACAGUUCCUCCUUUGUCAUGGUUUUAAAUUGACAUUUAUACACAUUUUUCUGCUGGCUGUUGGCAGCUAUAUUUAAUUUCCCAGCUUCUGACUUUAACUUGUCUAGCCAAAUCUAAACACCGUGGUACUGCCCUGACUCUCAGAGUGAGUGUGUGUGUGUGUGUGUGUGUGUGCCCUGACUCUCAGAGUGUGUGUGUGUGUGUGUGUGUGUGUGUGUGUGUGUGUGUGUGUGUGUGUGUGUGUGUGUGUGUGUGUGUGUGUGUGUGUGUGUGUGGGUGUACGGUCUGAAUGGCAUUACAGUGGAAUAGGAGCGGGAGGAGGAGGGAAGAAGGGAGGGAUGGAAAAAGUGGAGUAGGAGAAAUAAACAUGGGUUGUGUGUGUGUGUGUGUGUGUGUGUGUGUGUUCACGUGUGUAUGUGUGUGUGUUCACGUGUGUGUGUAUGUUCACGUGUGUGUGUGUAUGUGUGAGCGAGAGAGAGAGAAGCGUGUCCUUUGCUCCGGGCCGAUGACACCUUGCGAAAGCGUCUCAUUCAUCACAGGGGCUGGAGCUGGAGCAGAUUAGCGUGGAGGGGCUCAGCACUUACACACACACACACACACACACACACACUUUGAAGAAUUUAAUUGUAAAGGAAAAGGAUUUGAAUUCCCUGCAGCCAGGCUUGAUGGGCAGCCACCAGUCUGCCCCUGGCAUGGUUAGUAGAGCUGUCAUUAUAUACACACACACACACACACACACACACACACACACGUGAACCACACACACACACACACAUACACACACGUGAACCACACACACACACACGUGUACCACACAAACACACACUCACACACACGUGAACCACACACACACACACACGUGUACCACACAAACACACACUCGCACACACACACGUGUACCACACAAACACACCAACUCACACACACAUGAACCACACACACACUCAAACACCCAUGUGAACCGCACACACACACACGUACCACACUCUCACACACACAUACACACGUGUACCACACAAACACACACUCACACACACUCGUGAACCACACACACACACACGUGCAUCAAACCUAUUUAAACUGUAUGCAUAAAGAAACUCUUGAAGUGAAUUGAUCCCACCGUAGAAGCUUAAAGUUCACGUGACCUGAGGGUGGUGCUGGGAAUGUAGCUCUUAGGCAGCACCUUCUUUAUGCCUACACACACACACACACACACACAGACUACACUGUAGACUAGGCUCCACACCAGCCUGGCCAGUCUAGCAGUGUGAUCCAGCUCUGCCAGACUCCGCUGUAAGGGAAUGUUGUCUUUCCUAUCAGUUUACUGUCACUCUCUCUCUCACACACACACACACACACACACACACACACACACAGGUUCUACUUGAGUGUGUGUUUGUGUGAGAGAGAGAGGGUGAGAGAGUGGUGGGGACAGAGAGGUAGAGGAAUGAUGAGAGAAUGAUACAACAGGAUGAAGAGGAGGGAGAAAAAGGGAGAGAGAGAAAGAAGGGGAGAGUAAGGAAAAGAACAUAGAAAGUCAUAGAAAGUGUGAAUGUCUGUGAUGACACACACUCCUGAGCCCAAGAACACUGAGGUUUUUCAUCUCUACUUUAAAAACCAACUACACACACACUCUCUCUCUCUCACACACACUUCAAUCUAUUUUUCUAAGUUUAUGACUUCAACAUCAGUAGUUCUAGUUAUAUGGGGAUUCAACAAGCAUAUAGGACAUACAAAGGCUACUGGCUUGGGUG
ensembl:lncRNA